UGGCCUGUCCUCGGCCACAGAAUUCGGAAACAGACGUGGCCCCCCUCUCAAGCACAGGGGAAGGGAAAUGGCCUUGGUGUGGAAAUCGCAGGACCCCGAGACACACAGAAUUGGUAGCAGGGCAACGUAGCCAUAAUUGCUGCAUUAAAGCUUUAAUGAAAGAAAAAAGCCGCAGAUCAAGAUGACAUGCAACGUCUACAUUUGCACCGUGGCGCUCUGCUUGUUUAGUAAUGGGAAGCUACUGAGGAGAUUAAAAUUGCAGAAUUCUUCAUAGUUUGUUCUGAAAUUGCUAUAGGAAGAUCAUUCGGGGUCUAAAAUACACACAAUUUAUUUUUCCACCUUCAAUUUGCAAGAAUUUAAUGGCUUUCCUAACUAGUAGGUGGUUGGAGAUAUGCUUUAUAUUGAAGAGAAAACUACUUCGGAUCAUAAAAAUGAUCAGAAGUGAGUGGAUCAGAAUUUUAAACCUCCAGCGAUUUCCGGAGUGUGUUAGAAGAUUGCCCAAGUAUCAUACUAUAGUUUGUGCUUACUUGCUGUGCUAUAAGAAGCUGCUGGCUUCAAAAUAUCAACAGGUUGGUUUAUAAUAUUGUAUUUCUAUGUUUUUCAGUUUUCUUUUUUUUUUAAUCACCUCCAAUAACGUCAGGAACUAGUAUAACGGACAGCUCCUGUACAGAGGCAAUGCUGGGCCAGCUGCUAACUGACUUGUAGGGCAAUUUAGGUUGCUUGUAUGUUUGUUUUUUUAAUAGCUUCCAACGAGCUCCUUCCUUCUAAGUUUGAAGUUUUCUUCAUAUCUUAACUCCAUAUAGGUUGGCCAUAUUUUCUGCAAACCAUUCCUGGCAAAUAACGUCAGCAGAGACCGAACCCUUCAGCAUGUGUCCCAGCUCUGAACAGUGGGAAUAAGCUAAACACAACAGCAAGAAAGUAACAAGAUCCUUAGUCCCAGGGGCUAAGGGAGAAGUAGCCAUAUAUUUACAUGCAUGCUAUUUGUGUGAACUUUGCCUCAUUUUGCAAAAAAAAAAAAAAAAAAAAAAAAAAAAAAAAACGGACAAUGCAACAGCAACUCUUCUGAAGAGAGAAACCUGAGGAAGGGACCCUGUGAAGGCCUGGCUUCUUGGCUUUUGGAUUUCUCACUUUAGGAAAGCUACACUUGCUUCACGGUUCUGUUUUGGUGUUUGUUUCUCGCGGGCUUGAUAAAAUGCUUCUUUCUCCACGUACGGUUCUCCUGGAAUGAAAAUCUUCAAGUACACAGCCUUCUGGCAUGGCUGGCUUUCUCACAGAAGUAAGAACGUGCUGUUGGCAUGGGGGCUGGAGCCGCGGGGUAAGCACAGCCCGCAGAAAUCCGCACAAGUGCUGGGGUGGAGCAGCCUGGCCUCUCAGAGCAUUGCAGCUACUUCUGGGAGAGUGUUACCAAGGAAGGAAGCAGAGGGAAGGGGUUAGGAUGGGCUUCAGACGACACACAAAGGCUAGAAAUGAUCUGCCACCCCCAAGAUUUUGUGUAACAAGCAAAAAAAUGGAUGUUACAGGUACCCAACCGCUUGCCUUCCUAGUUAAACAGGAAAGAUAAUCUUUGUAGUCUGCCUCUCUGAGGCUGGCCGCUGAUGCAGGACUUAAAAUGGGGGCACCCAGGGCAAUGUGUUUUAACUGGUAGACCAUUUUAAGAUAUUUUCUUUUUGCUUCAUCUUUAUAUGUGUUGGCACUGAACAGAGAGGAUGGUAGAAGGAAGCCUUUAGCAAGCCUGCUCGCUGGUCACUUUGGGGAGUAUGGUACUUAGUGAGCAGAAGAUAAAAGGCUGAGCAGACAUGAGGAGUGUAUUCACACUAGCCUGUAUUCACACUGACUGCCAGGCUCCCUCAGCAAGACGGUAAGGUGCAGCAUCAUGAAGCAACAAUGCCUACAGUGUCUACCUUCAACUGAGGGACGCUCAUGGAGAAGCUCAACGUCUGUGAAAAGCAGGCCCAGAAACAGUUCACCAAUUUGAGAACUUAAGGAAAUUGUUUUCCAAUAUAGUUUCUACUUAAAAAAAAAAGUGUGUGUGUGUGUGUGUGUGUGUGUGUGUGUGUGUGUGUGAGAGAGAGAGAGAGAGAGAGAGAGAGAGACUAACAGGUAUUUCCAUACUUAGGUUAAAUGCUUAACCUUUAACAAUAUGAGAUGGCUUUCCACACAGAAGAGAAAUAUCUAUUUGAGUUUCCUGAAGAAGGAAAAAGGACUAAGUGGAGGGUCCACCGUGUGUAGGGUGAGCCACACACUCACUAGUCAUUUUGAUAAUUAUUCUCUAAACUUUGUCUGGCUUGGGCUGUUACGUAUUCUGAAGGGCUUUUGAUGCCUGGUACUUUUGACAUCUCUGAAAAUGUAUUUGUAUAUAAGUAUAAACAUUAUAAGUAUA